UCCGGCGUAGUGUAGAGGUUUAGCAUUUCAGAUUUUCACUUCUUGGAGAUCUUCUGAGGACCCGAGUUCGAACCUCGGCGUCGGAG